CUGAGUGAAAAAUUUUUCUUAGCGUGACCGUGACGUCUAGCGUGCAUUUGCUAUUUGGCACGGUUGCCACAUAACGGAAUUUUUAAGGCUGGCGCUUUUGGUUUUCCCUUUCGUUGCCGGUAUGUCGUUCAACUAUAUACAAGUCCAACGGUGUUACGAGCACACAACGGAAACUAUAUUGGCAUCUCAAAUUUCUUUAAUGGCUUCUCAAAAUGUGCGGUGGCGCUCUUCUGCUAAUGGGAAAGUGGGGAAUAGAAGAAGAAAACGAACCCCAGUACUGUACUAUAUAAACCUGCUGCUACUUUGUCCUUAGUCACAUUCAGUCAGCCCGUCUAGCAUCUACUAACUAAAUAACCAAAAGCAUUUCACGAUGAAUUUUCUGAACUUGAAAAAUAGCUUGGCGCUCUGCGUGUUUCUGUUUUUUCUCCAACUGUCCAUCAUCCAUCCGGUUUCCGGGCGGAAUCUCGUCAGCAUUCAGCGCGUUACCCGCAACGAUCAGCAAUAUUAUC